rnacentral:rRNA from 1 species
AUUGAACGCUGGCGGAAUGCUUUACACAUGCAAGUCGAACGGCAGCACGGAGAGCUUGCUCUCUGGUGGCGAGUGGCGAACGGGUGAGUAAUAUAUCGGAACGUAUCCAAUAAUGGGGGAUAACGAGUCGAAAGAUUCGCUAAUACCGCAUACGCCCUACGGGGAAAGCAGGGGAUCGUAAGACCUUGCGUUAAUGGAGCGGCCGAUAUCUGAUUAGCUUGUUGGUGAGGUAAAGGCUCACCAAGGCGACGAUCAGUAGCUGGUCUGAGAGGACGAUCAGCCACACUGGGACUGAGACACGGCCCAGACUCCUACGGGAGGCAGCAGUGGGAAUUUGGACAAUGGGCGCAAGCCUGAUCCAGCAAUGCCGCGUGCAGGAAGAAGGCCUUCGGUUGU